rnacentral:lncRNA from 1 species
ACAUUCAACUCCACCAAACCUCACUGACUCUACACUGUUUAUAUAAACAUUCAACUCCACCAAACCUCAGAGCUGAUUUCUAUAAAGAUGGAUCACUCAUCCAGAAUCAAACUACAGAGAUGAUCAUCUCUACUGUCUCAAAGUCACAUGAGGGUUUCUACUACUGCAAACACUCAGAGAGAGGAGAGUCACCCAAGAGCUGGAUCUCAGUCAGAGGUCAGAGUCAAUAGAAACUGUGAGCUGGUUUAUUUCUUCUUAUGCUCUCGUUCAGAUACAGUACAUGAUAAAGUGCUUGUGUGUCUGUUUUUCAGCGUCUCAUUCAGAAUCUCAGAUCUCUGUCCUGCACACACUCAGUUCUGUACUGGCAGUUUGUCCAUAUCUGCUAGUGACAGUCGUGCUGAUUUUCAAAUGCUGCAGGAUGAGAGAUCCCCAUUGACGUCUUCUCCUCUAUCACUCUCCAGAGCUCUGUGCUUCAUCCAUUCAGCGACUUACCAUAUCGUUGUCAUACUGCAUCCUGUAAAUAAAUCUGCUUAACUAACCCUCCGUCUGUAUUCUGGUUUGUGACAUAAUGUAACUGAAAUUGAAACAUUACAGAAGCUUAAAUUUAUUUUAAAGAAAAUAAAGUAGAAUUAAAUAAGUAGUUAACUCAAGCAAAAACAUUCCACAGUGUCAGUGUUGCCAGUUAAGAUGUUCUAAAAAGGCUAUUUCAAAAUUCUACAUAAACAUUUUUUAAUCUCUUUAUUGAUAUUAUUUCUGCUCCUCUUCUUUGCAUUGCUUCCAGCCUUGUGUCCCUGAUGAUUUUCUUUUUUCACUAAUGUUUUAGAAAUUAUACUUUAAGAGUACAUAAAUGGCUAAACUAAUUUACCUGCGUGUGCUAUGCAUAAUAAAUGCGUUAUGAUGAUGUAUUUAUAAUUAUUGUCAUUGUUUAAAUUAGUCCAACAUAGACUUGAUCGUGUUGCAUCAUAGCUGUGUGGGGGAAAAGUCUUUUCCCUCUCAUUGGAAAUCAUGGUGUUGACUCAGAAUGGCCUACAUAAAAUCACUUCUGCCACUGGACAGAGCAACAUACGCAUAAAAAUUGAGCCGUAUUGGGUUAUACAUAUAUAUAUAUAUACACAUACAUAUACACACACAAACACAUGCGCACACACAAACUAAAAUAAAAUGUCUCUGUAAAUCAUUUACACAUACCAUAUAAAAGUAAAAUCAGUAAAGGGUUAAAGCUCUGUUGUUGAAUUAUCCACAAGUUUUUUUUCCCCCCUCCAAUUUUAGACCCAUCACCUAUGUAAGUUUAAUUUGACUUCCAGUACAAUAGGCGGUGAUAAGGCUUUAAUGGAGUUAUUUGCCAUUAAACAAGAAGAAAGCAUAAUAUCCGGGACAUUUAUGUACUUUGCCGCCUAAAUGGGCUGAAACUUUUCUCACAGUUGCCAUUUCUUUUGACCCACAAAUCGCGAUCCGGAGCAUACGAGGAUGAAAAAUACAGAGGUUAAGUGAUUUAUGUUAUUCACACAGUAUUAAUUUGAUAACAUCACACUGUUUUAGACUGAUAUUUAUGUGCUGUGUGUGUGGCUCGUGGUGCGGAGGUGACGAGGAGGUUGCUUUUCAACAGGAACACUGAAAGUAAGUGUUUUAUUUCAUUUACAAUAUAUAUUCUAUAACAUAUUGAUUUAUAGUGAUAUUUAUAUGCAGUGCAAGUUUAAACGGGCCAAAACUUUUCUCUCAGAUGACAUUUCCUUUGACUACCGGUGCAGAAAUGGAGGUUUUAACAGAGAGAACACUGAAAGUAAGUGUUUAGUCUCCUUUACAUAUUUUAUGACGUUAUAUUAUAUCGUUAUAUUAUUUUAUAACGAUAUUUUUGUGCUGUGCAGUCCUAAACUUUUCUCAUAUACAACAGACAUGGGUAAGCCACAUUUCCAUAUUUAAGAUUAUUGAUUGUCAUGCAUAACUUUUUGAUCAGUAAUAUUUGUUAUUUGCCUAAUAAUUAGAAGUCUGGACUCUUUCUAGUAGGGCUGCCCUCGACUUAAAAAAAGUUACUCUUUUUUUUUUUUUUUUUUUUUUAAUUUUAUUGGCAGCCCUCAUUUUUAACAAUUUAACUACCCAUAUUUAAGAUUAUUGAUUGUCAUGCAUAACUUUUUGAUCAGUAAUAUUUGUUAUUUGCCUAAUAAUUAGAAGUCUGGACUCUUUCUAGUAGGGCUGCCCUCGACUAAAAAAAAGUUUCUUUUUUUUUUUUUUUUUUUUUUUUUUUUUAUUUUAUUGGCAGCCCUCAUUUUUAACAAUUUAACUACCACCAUAAGGUUGAUGCUGGAGAAAAUUAACAAAGCAUCAGGGAACAUCUGUGUGUAAUGAAGGAGGAAACAUAGAAGCUGAGACCAAACAUAGAGCUCGUCAAAGAAAGGAUGGUGUUGAAAAAAUGCUAUCGGAUAAAUUUUGUGUCCAAAUAUAGCACAGAGGCGGCUCUCUCUGAGUUCCUAUGUUUCAUACUGGCCAAAAUGCUCAGUACAGUAGUGUGUUAAUUGCCUUCUUAUUUAAUUGUUAACUAUAUUUUAAUACUUCUUUCCUCCUUUGGCUUCCUCUUAAUAUAAGCUCCUUUCGGAUCUGUGAGACCACGCCAAUGUUGAUGUGGACCAACAAAUUCUCACACAGCUCUCUGUAAUGACACCCCAAGUCCUUCAUGUUUUGUAAAGUCCCCUGAAGGAGAAGUUCAGGUGCAUAUUUGAUGACUGAAGAUGGCAGACUGAAAAAAGUUAAUUAAAUCAUUACUGCAUAGUACCACUGUACUGUACAUAGUUUUCAUUGUACCACUGACUGAAACCCUAUCUCUCUGCCUGAGAAUCAUACCUGUCUUCUUUCCUGCAUGUAACUGUCUUACACACAGUAAUGGAAAAAAAAAACGAAAAAAAAAUUGGUAAAAGCAUCCACAAUGUCAUGUUAAUCUAAUGAGGUUAUUUUGUUUAAAGGCAUACAGUUGGAAGCAGCUAUUCUGCUCUUGCCUUUUCUGUUCAAGGAGGACCACACAAUCUAAUCAAAGCACUACACUUAUUGCACAUUUUGUUAUUCAGAUGAUUUCAGUGCAAACUUUAGUUUUUUGCUUGUUGGUCUACACAAACUAUGCUAUCAAGCUGAAGAGAAAUUUUGUUCAUUUUCAGUUCGUGGCCAAAAGUAUUUGAGCAGUUGUAUGACAGUAGUUAAAAGUAAUUUAACUCAUAAGGUUUGCCUUGCAAAUAAAUGCUAUUAUCCCCUCUCCCCCAGGGCCAUUCUCAGAUCAGCCCAUCCCAACACCUAAGAUGAAGCUUAAAGGCUGUAGGGAGGGUCAUCUCGUGCAGUAUGACCACAUUGUGCUCACGUUGGAUGGACAGUUAAUCACAGAGGAGAGCGAGGACAUCUCGACGGCACUGGGACUCCUCCUGUGUGUACAUUUUGUGUUUGGAAUCCAGCAUCCUAAAGCAGCGGUUCUCAAUUCCAGUCUUGGUGACCCGCCCCCACGUUUUGCAUGUCUCACUUAUUUAACACACCAGAUUCAGAUCAUGAGCUCUUUAGAAAAGACUCUGCAUAUAAAAACCAGGACUCUCUCUUCUUCAAAAAUGUACAUAUUUCAAGCUUGUUGCAUUAUUUUGUAUGUGUAUAAAACAACAACUCCCCGUAUAUUGUGAUGUUGUAUAUGUAUAUUUUCUGGCUUGUCAACAGUAAUUUUAUUUGCUGCUGAAAGAAAUAAAUUAAAAGGUUUUGAAAAUGGGAUGUCAUUUUGUUUCUCAGUAAGCAUUUAGUACAGGAAUUUGAAUCUUUAAAGCUGCAAUUUGGUAAGAAAUGAUUAGUUAUCAUUCAUCUUAAGUAAAAGUGACAUUUAGAAGCAUAUUGGCUUAUCUAUUGUAGUCAUAUAUGACACCUCUAAUGGUUCUUUGUAACACAUUUUGACAAAUGUGCUAAUUAAGCUUCUUAUCUUUAAGAAUAUGUGCCAUGUGGUACCAAAAGAGGUUCCCCUAUGAUAAAAAGCCAAAGAACUACUGUUGAGCAUCAUUUUUGUUGAAGCAAUACAGUGCUAUACGGCACCUCUUAUGGUUCUACAUAGCACCAUUUGACAAAGUGCUAUAUAGCACCUGUAAAAAUAGGCGCUAAAUAGCACUAAAAGUGGUUCCCCUAUGAUUAUGAGUCAAAGAACCAAGUGUAUAAGAACGACGUCGGCGCCAUCUCAAGUCGGACAAAAUUUCUAACCGGCAUGCACUGCUUCAAGUCAUAAUUUGAUCGAUCUGCGCAGCGCUGCGAAUUGAGGUGAGGCGAGGAGAGCGAGGACAUCUCGACGGCACUGGGACUCCUCCUGUGUGUACAUUUUGUGUUUGGAAUCCAGCAUCCUAAAGCAGCAGUUCUCAAUUCCAGUCUUGGUGACCCGCCCCCACGUUUACAUGUCUCACUUACUUAACACACCAGAUUCAGAUCAUGAGCUCUUUAGAAAACACUCUGCAUACAUAAACCAGGACUCUCUCUUCUUCAAAAAUGUACAUAUUUCAAGCUUGUUGCAUUAUUUUGUAUGUGUAUAAAACAACAACUCCCCGUAUAUUGUGAUGUUCUAUAUGUAUAUUUUCUGGCUUGUCAAUAGUUAUUUUAUUUGCUGCUGAACGAAAUAAAUGAAAA